rnacentral:tRNA from 2 species
GCCCUUGUAGCUCAGUGGUAGAGCGCACCCUUGGUAAGGGUGAGGUCGUCGGAUCAUUCCCGAUCAAGGGCU